CGCGUAGGCGGUUAUAUAAGUCGGAUGUGAAAGCCCCGGGCUCAACCUGGGAACUGCAUUCGACACUGUAUAACUAGAGUUUGGUAGAGGGAAGUGGAAUUCCACAUGUAGCGGUGAAAUGCGUAGAUAUGUGGAGGAACACCAGUGGCGAAGGCGACUUCCUGGACCAAAACUGACGCUGAGGUGCGAAAGCGUGGGUAGCAAACA
rnacentral:rRNA from 1 species